rnacentral:rRNA from 1 species
GUGGGGAAUUUUGGACAAUGGGCGAAAGCCUGAUCCAGCAAUGCCGCGUGUGUGAAGAAGGCCUUCGGGUUGUAAAGCUCUUUCAGUGGGGACGAUAAUGACGGUACCCACAGAAGAAGCCCCGGCUAACUUCGUGCCAGCAGCCGCGGUAAUACGAAGGGGGCUAGCGUUGUUCGGAUUUACUGGGCGUAAAGCGCACGUAGGCGGAUCGUUAAGUCGGGGGUGAAAUCCUGGAGCUCAACUCCAGAACUGCCUUCGAUACUGGCGAUCUUGAGUCCGGAAGAGGUGAGUGGAACUCCUAGUGUAGAGGUGGAAUUCGUAGAUAUUAGGAAGAACACCAGUGGCGAAGGCGGCUCACUGGUCCGGUACUGACGCUGAGGUGCGAAAGCGUGGGGAGCAAACAGGAUUAGAUACCCGAGUAGUCC